UGGGGAAUUGUUCGCAAUGGGCGCAAGCCUGACGACGCAACGCCGCGUGGAGGACGAAGAUCUUCGGGUCGUAAACUCCUUUCGAUCGGGAAGAACAGUUGCCGGAUGAACAAUCCGGCGAUUUGACGGUACCGAGAGAAGAAGCCCCGGCUAACUCCGUGCCAGCAGCCGCGGUAAUACGGGGGGGGCAAGCGUUGUUCGGAAUUACUGGGCGUAAAGGGCUCGUAGGCGGCCAACUAAGUCGGAUGUGAAAUCCCCAGGCUUAACCUGGGAACUGCAUCCGAUACUGGAUGGCUUGAAUCCGGGAGAGGGAUGCGGAAUUCCAGGUGUAGCGGUGAAAUGCGUAGAUAUCUGGAGGAACACCGGUGGCGAAGGCGGCAUCCUGGACCGGCAUUGACGCUGAGGAGCGAAAGCCAGGGGAGCAAACGGGAUUAGAUACCCCCGUAGUCC
rnacentral:rRNA from 1 species